CCAAUAGCGUAUAUUAAAGUUGUUGCAGUUAAAAAGCUCGUAGUUGAAUUUCGGGAUUCUACCGUUGGUCGGGCUAACAAGUCUGUACUGGUGUGUAGAAUUUCUACCUUCUGGGGAACUAUCAUGUUAUUAAUUUAGCGUGGUGGGAAACCAGGACCUUUACCUUGAAAAAAUUAGAGUGUUCAAAGCAGGCUUACGUCUGAAUACAUUAGCAUGGAAUAAUAGAAUAGGACGGUGGUCCUGUUUUGUUGGUUUCUGAAUCACCGUAAUGAUUAAUAGGGAUAGUUGGGGGCAUUAGUAUUCAAUUGUCAGAGGUGAAAUUCUUGGAUUUAUUGAAGACUAACUUCUGCGAAAGCAUUUGCCAAGGAUGUUUUCAUUAAUCAAGAACGAAAGUUAGGGGAUCAAAGACGAUCAGAUACCGUCGUAGUCUUAACCAUAAACUAUGCCGACUAGGGAUCGGACGAUGUUAAAUUUUAUUGACUCGUUCGGCGCCUUACG
rnacentral:rRNA from 1 species